rnacentral:tRNA from 1 species
UCCCUGAUGGUCCAGUGGUUAAGACUCUGCACUUCCACUGCAGAAGCACAGGUUCAAUCCCUGGUCGGGGGA